rnacentral:misc_RNA from 1 species
UACAGAGACCCCGAGCGUUGACCGGAUUUAUUGGGCGUAAAGCGUGCGCAGGUGGUUUUGCAAGUCAUUUGUUAAAUCUUCAGGCUUAACCUGGAGGCUGCGGGUGAUACUGCAAGACUCGAGUUCAGGAGAGGUAGGCGGAAUGCCUGGUGUAGGGGUAAAAUCCGUUAAGAUCAGGUAGAACACCAAAUGCGAAAGCAGCCUACUGGAACGAUACUGACACUGAAGCACGAAAGCGUGGGUAGCGAAUCGG